rnacentral:lncRNA from 1 species
UGAGGCCGCCGGCGGGCUGCGUAGUGACGCAGGCGCGAGACUGUGCGGUGGCAGCCAUGGCGGACGGCUGCGAUGAGGCUGCUCCUGGGUCUCGCGGCUAUCCAAGACCAUCGAGGGUCCCCGGCGGCGCCUGCCGUCUGCUGAGGCUGGGUUAAGGCUUCUGGCAGAUUCGGGUCAGUCCCAAGUGCGACCGGUCUUCUGGGGCUGCCGUCCGCAGACCCUUCUCGCAUCCACGUACCUGGCGGCCUCCCUCAUCGCGUGCUGUUGCACGAGACCUGUGGGGUGUCCGCGGCAGAAGAUGUCAGAGCUGGAAGAGACCUGAGAGGCGAUCCCUUGGUGGGUGAUGGUUCUUCCGGGAAUCUGGUGGUUUGCGCGCCUUGUCGUCUGCUUCCAGAACAAGGAUCUUCGCUGUACGCCAAGACC